AAAAAAAAAAAAUUUGUUUUUAUCAGUUUAAUAUUUGAUACGUCCCCCAUCGGGGGACUACAUAUUAAAAGGAUUUUUCGAACAGGGAGUCGGAAAUGGGGCUUGCUCCGUCCGCUCCACGCAUCGACCCGGUAUUGCAGUACCUCCGGGAACGGUGCAACACUU
rnacentral:snRNA from 8 species